UACCAUGAUGAUUACGAAAAAAUCGUGUAAUCAUUGUAAUCUAAAGUAAUCUUGUAACCUUUCAUAAUCACCAAUAAUCUUUAAAAAUCACAUGUAAUCAUCAGUAAUCUUUCGUCGUAUAUUUAUAAUCUGCAAAAAUUUUUUGUAAUCUUGAUAUGAUUACAGAAAAUCUCAGUAAUCUUCUCAGCUUCGUUCUUAAAUCGCGCAUGCGCACGUAUACAUGCACAUAUAUAGUAUUGUAAAUUUUUUUUUCUCUGAAUUUCAAAUGUAAUCAUAAAAGAUUACUGGGAAUCUUUGUGAUUGCUGAAAAAAAAGUAAUCUUGUGUAAUCAUUAAGAAUAUUGCAUGAUUACGGGUAAUCUGUAAUCUGGUGUACACUAAAUUUUGGAGUGUCUUCCUCCUCGGUUUUAUUUUAUAUUUUACGACAAACACAGAAUUUGAAUCGUGGAGUAAAGAAACUAUGAAAAUUAGAGUUUGAAUUCAAUAUCUAUGAGUUACAAAUUCAAAACUUUAAUUUAUCAAUUUGGUACAUUAUACAAAAGAAAUGGACAUGUACAUCAUUAUGUGGAAGUUGAUGGAUUUCAAAGGGAAUUAUUUGACAAUGCUCGUAAAACAAUUUUAGCUGUUUGUAAUAAAUAUAAACAAGUUAAUAAUCACCAAAAUUUUAAUAUUC